AUUGAACGCUGGCGGCAUGCUUUACGCAUGCAAGUCGAACGGUAACAGGCCUUCUGUUGCUGCCGAGUGGCGCACGGGUGCGUAAUUCAUCGGAACGUACCCAGCGGUGGGGGUUAACGCAGCGAAAGCUGUGCUAAUACCGCAUGUGAUCUGAGGAUGAAAGCGGGGUACCGUGCAGCAAUGUUUGGCCUCUCGCCUUUGUAUCUGCCGAUGUCGGAUUAGCUAGUUGGUGGGGUAAAGGCCUACCAAGGCGACGAUCCGUAGCUGGUCUGAGAGGACGACAAGCAAAACUGGGACUGAGACACGGACCAGAAGACGACGGGAGGCAGCAGUGGGGAAUAUUGGAGAAAGGGGGCAAGCAUGAUAAAGCAAUGCCGCGUGAGGGAAGAAGGACUUCGGGUUGUAAAACGAUUUUGGCAGGAACGAAACGGUGUCCGAUAAUACCGGGAGAUAAUGACGGUAACUGAAGAAUAAGAACCGGCUAACUACGUG
rnacentral:rRNA from 1 species